CCCUUAGAUGUUCUGGGCCGCACGCGCGCUACACUGAUGCAUUCAACGAGUUUCUUCCUGGUCCGAGAGGAAUGGGUAACCUUUUGAAAGUGCAUCGUGAUAGGGAUAGACUAUUGCAAUUAUUGGUCUUCAACGACGAAUUCCUAGUAGACGUAGUUCAUCAGACUGCAUCGAUUACGUCCCUGCCCUUUGUACACACCGCCCGUCGCUCCUACCGAUUGAAUGCUCAGGUGAGCCAUUCGGACUUUCAUCAUGCUGGUUUCCAGUUUUGAUGAAGGAAAGUCUUGCGAACCUUAUCAUUUAGAGGAAGGAGAAGUCGUAACA
rnacentral:rRNA from 1 species